AAAUCUAGCACGCGCCACUCUUUCUGGCAGCCGCCGCCAGGAUGCCUCCACUCUUUCUCCCUCUUCUCUCCUCCCCUUGCUCUUCUCUGGCCGCCGCCACUUGCCAGGACUUCCUGCAGCAGAGCGCCCCUGCAGCUCCUUGCACCUGCAUCCUACGCGCGCUCCAGCCGACCACGCCCAGGAACCAGUGCAGCGCUCCAUCAUCAGUAGGUGACUGACGGCACAUGCGCCACCAUGCCAAUCAUCCAUAUGAUCCGUCUCCCACAUGCCUGCGCUGCAAACGGGCAGGGUCGUUGUGUCUACGCUGCGGCUGCGGCUACCGACGGCGUCCUGAUUGGACUAUUGGAGAGGAGAGGAAGCCGUCGUGCCGCGUGACAACAAUGCUGCGGCUGGACGGACGUGUCGGCGAGCAGUCCAGCUUGCCGCUGCGUGUCCAACCCCAAGGUCAAGGCCGGCCGAGGCUCCACAACCUCUCAACUCCAUAACAGCCAGCUGCUCCUCGUGACAUGCGUGCACAUGUGCUGUUAGUUGCACUGCAUUAUAUGUUGCAUGUACGCACACAAGCCAUUGCUGCCAUUCCUAUCAAUAAUCUGCGGUUGUUGGAUGGAGGGUCGUCUCCUGGGGUUAUUCUAUCGUUUAGCCGUCCUCUUGGCGAGUUCAGAUGAAGCCAUGGAAUGUAUAUCGGAAGAUGCCAGCUGAAUGUCUCCAUGCUUAUUUGGAUUUCCCUCUAAAGUUAGCUUUAAAUUAUAGCUUAUAUCUCACACUAAAAUUUUAGAGUUUAUUUUUGAAGUUCUUUAAAUUUUUAGAGCUCUAAAAUUUACUAUGCUAUGAAAUUGUGUUUCUUAAGGUGAUGAGGAACAAGUUUGCUACCGAGGAUGAGUAAGACAAUGAAGAAUAUUGUGCUUCUGAAGAUGAGGAAUUAGAUGAUGAGGAUGAUCAAAUAUUUCAUUAGAUGCAAGGUGCAAACUCACCAAAAUCUACAAGGCACUUUGCUGAAGCUUCACACUCUAAACAUGAUGAUCUAGCUAGCUAUCUGUAAAUGAUCUAGUUGUGAAUGAUAUUAUAAUUGUGAUGCUUUUGUGAAUAUAUAAUUGUGUUGCUUUUGUGUUUAUGUGAUGGAUCUAUGACUAUGGUAUACCGAUUAACUGUGUGUCUU